AAAGCCAAUGUCCUUGGCUAUGAAGUGGCUUCCACUCACCGCUACAAUAAUUGAUUAAAGCACAUAUAUAUUAUUAAUUAGACAAAUAUUAAAACAAAGAAAAAACAAGGAAUUUAGAUAUUACUACUUACAAACAGUUGAUGUUUUGAAUGUUUGGACACCAGCAGCAUAGUUGAGGUCUCCGGUGAUCUUUGUCUUAGUAGCACCAUCACCGAUCAUCAUAAUAUGGGACAAGCUCCUUGAGAUGGUGACUUGCUGCUUGUAGAUCCCUUUCUUUAUAUAUAUAACAAAUGUUGUGUUUUGCUUCUUGGGAAUCUUGUGAACAGCUUCAUUAAUAGUCUUGUAUUGGCCACUCCCGUCUUUAGCAACAACGAUAUCAGGCUUAAUUGUGUCUGGAGUUUGUGCAAGUAGUCUCCUUUUUUCAUGGGACAACCAGGAAGGAAACUCAGAGUUAUCUUUCAACAGUCUACGUCCUGUAAAUCCUGCAAGGUUCAAAUCCUUAAGCGUGGAAGAGAGACCAGUGAUCAAAGCAAGACCGUUGCUGCUAAGUUGACUAGAAAGAGUUAGGAUUUCCUUCAUUUUGGCUCCGGCUGGACCAGUAGUAUUGUCAAAGCCAUCCAAACAAGUUUGUUGAUAAGUGAUGGUGGCGCUAAGCCAAGUCUUGAGAUUUGCCAGAUACUCAUCCAUUUUAUUAACAUCAAAGUGUUCAACUUCUUCGAAGGAAACCUUGAGAUCAUGAAUGGCGUCGUCCAUUAAUUCUUUGCAAUUAUCAAGCGCUUGUUUUGCCAUUGGAUCUUUUGCUACAUCUUUUAAUGUGGAUGAGUUCUGUAAGGCUUGUUGAAGAGCAUCAAUGGUCACCUGAAAGCCGGCCUGUACAAGCUUGAGAGGAUCGGUGGUGUUUCCUGCGGCUUUGCUAAGACUUUUUCCACAGAUUUCUCUGUAAUCCGUAGGUUGGCAGAUAGCCUGGACUGACUUCGACGACGUGGAUAUUUCGGCCGAAGCGUUUGAGCCAUUUUGGUGGUCGCCGCUGUUGAUUCCAUAUGCCACAGCAAUCACCAUAGCCACCAGAAGAAAUGAUGCGACGCCAAAAAUGGCAUACUUCUUUUUCUUCCCGGUUGGAUCUCCGGCGCCGCCACCAGCCAUCUGCGUUAGUCUUAGUUUAAGCUACAAAACCACCAAUCUUCUUGUUUUUUUUAGGAGAAUAUGAUCAAGAAGAGAAACAAAAUUGGAGGAAAUAAAAACCUAAUCAAUGUUAUUAAGAAGUAUACAGAGCUGUUGGGGCUUUAAGAUUAUUGAAUAAAUGCCCCGAAGCUCUGACUUGGGAAAACAAAGCAUAGAGAAACCCUUUAUAUAUGAAGUGAAAUUCUAAAAAACUGUUAUUUCUGUUACAAAUUUGUGGGGUGUGGAAGAGACUUUACUAAAAUUAGGGUAAUUUUUUCCGAUAAUAAUAGUACUUUUAAAACAAUGUUUAUUUCUUCUUUUAUUACUCAAUCAAUAAAAUAAUAAUAUUUGAUUUCUUAUUUAAAUUCAAGAAUAAUAAUAUCUAUAUAAAUAUUUUUAUGAUUUCUUUUUGUCUAAAUUGACUCAAAUUAAAAUUUUGAAGAUUGAAAAAAUUAAUAAAUUAGUUAUAAUUUCAUUUAUACAAAUUGCCUAUUUUUAUUUGAGAAAUAUUAUAUAUCUAAUAUAUUCAAAUUAAAAGAUAUUAUUUUGUAUAUUCGAAUUAAAAAAAUUUAUAAAUGGAUAAAAUAUUAAUUUUUACUCAAAAUAACGAGUUGUAAAAUUAUAAUGAGUAACUUACUUAAAGAUAAUAAACACAACACUAAUUUUAACCUUUGCUAUAUAUUUAGAUGUAUAUAUCACUUAGUAUAAAUGUAAAAAAAAAAAAAAAAAAAAAGUUCUUAUUGUCUUUAAUAUUUUAUGUACUUUUUUUUAACUAAUUAUGAAUAUAGAUUGUCAUUGAUGAUUAUUUAAAUAAUAAAUUAAUGAUGAAAUUAAUUUCAUCAAUAAUUUUAUUAAUUAUUGUUUUUUUUUAAUAUUUUAAAUUAUUAUAGGUUGAAAAUAAAAUUUUGUUGUUAAAAAAUUUAUAAUAAAGUGUUUCCAAGUAAGACAAAAAUGAACAUAUAUGGAUUUUCAGUUGGAAAAAUAUAUUUGUAUUUGUAUAAUAAUAAAUAUUUUAUCAAAACUCUACUAGAAGUAUUAUUAUCAAAUUGUACUGAAAAACUAUUAUGCUUUAUUACAUAAUUACAUGUAUAUGGCAAAAUUAAUAUAGUAUUCAGAAUGUGGUUUACAAGUUAAAUUAUUAUGUAUGAAGUCAACAAAUAUAAAGUAUUAUACAUAAAAUUUUAUUAUAAAAUGUCAAAUUCCAUUGUACCAUGGCAUAAUUUUAAAAUUAUAUUUAUAAAUAUAUAAUUUAUGAUAAUUAACCCACGCAUCGCGCUGGCUGGUGAGGUAAUAUAUAAUAAAGUAAAAACCAAAAUUUACAAUUAUAACCCUAUUUUAAUUUAAGUUCAUUCAGUUGUAAAAGCAGGUCGCACAAGCUAUAAGUGAUUUUUUUUUUUUUUUUUUUUUUACAAGUGUAAUUUUGAAAGCAGCUGAAUGAAUUAGAUGAAUUAUAUGUAUAAUUCAUAGUAAAAAUUUACUAUUUUAUGAAAUAAAGUUUAUAUAUCUACAUUUUCAAAUAUUAUUAAUUUGAAAAAAAUAAAAUAAACGAUUAAUUAUGUGUUUCAAACUCUUAUUUUUAAUUUUUUACCAAUGUAUGUUAUACAUUGAAUAUUUAUUUUAACUUUUACGUAUGCAAAAUAUAAGAUUAUUCAUUAAACAUAAUUUUAAUUAAAAAAUUUCAAUGUUAGAUACGUAUGUAAGAAUGGUUUAUUAAUUUUUUAAAGCCAAGCUAGGUUUUAUCGACUCUAUUUUCAUCUUUUUUUUUAAUUUUAUUUUUUAUUAAACUGAUUUCCAUCUUAUGUCCAAUUUUUACAUCUUUACUAUAUAUAUGUUUUUUAUUUCUAAUAUGAUUAAGUGAUUUUAAGAAUUAUUCUCUCCAAUUUUUAACUUUAUAAAUUGGAAAAAAUAAAUAUAUACUACACUCUACAUAAUUCACUGCUUAGAAAUUAAGCCAACAAAUUGUGUGAGCAUGAAUAUUAUUUUUUUAAUUAGUUAUUUCAACUUAAUUGUCAUGGUUAAAUUUGAUUCAUCCUUAUAAAUAUCAAAAUUUUCAUCCUAACAUAAAAUUUUUAAUUAUUGUAAAUUAAAUUUAUUUUUUUGUAUUAAUAUUAAAAAUAAUUUACCGUAACAUUACGCGGUUCUAUCUAGUCGUAUUAACAAUAAUAAUAAUCCCAAAUCAAUAAGCACGGGUAAAGAAUGUUUGACAUUGUCUCAGUUCAACGGGGACAGAUUUUUUUUAAAUAUUUUCAAUUUAUCUUUUUUUUUAAUGAAUAAUUAUAAAUACUUAUAAUUAUUUUUCAUUAGUUUAGUUUGUUUUUUAAAAAUAUUUUUAAUUUAUUAUUUUUUCUAAUGAUUAGAAAUAUCUAUAUUUGAUCAGAUAAUUAUUCUUAUUAGUUUAAUUUAUGUAAAGAACUAUAGAUGGGUCUAGACAAAUUAAUUCCAGUAAAAUGAGGAAAAAUAAAAAAAAAGGCCAAAAAGCUUUUUAAUUUCUUUUUUUUUUUUUUUUUUUUUUUAAAUACGGCUUUGGCAAGCAGCGGUACAACUUAACAUAAAAACUACUACAAUCAAUAAAUUUCGCUCUCCUCCUUAAUAGGUCUCCUUUAUACGUUCAUCAUUCCAGAAGCAUAACUGACGCCGGUUGCCGGAAUCCAAAGAUCUCCGCCAAUGAAUUUAGCAACAGUGAAAGCAGCAGCAUCCUGUGCCGACAAUUUCUUGAUACCCUUCCAUGUAACUCUAUCCUUGGUGACUGAACCAGGUCCUCUAUUUUCGUACUCGGAGUAAGAGAGAGUGUCAAGAGCAAAAGAACCCAUCCAUGGCAACCAUCCCUUUGGAUCAAUCAAAUCAUCGAUUUGACAUUGCAUGUAUACAGUCCUUGAGUACUCUUUCCAUGGGCGACCAAGAUAGGCCUUGUUCUCGAAUCUAACAGGAUAAUACUCUGGGUCUGCGGUAAUAUUGCAGUUUUGGAGAACAAAACCAGUGGCUUCGCGUGAUUCAUUCCUUCCUUGAGCAGUCACAACGCAAUUUUGAUUUUCCAAUGGCUUCCUGACCACAAUCUUGCAAUUCUGGAAGACUGCGGCGGCGUCACCAAAGAUGAAGUCAAUAGUGCCUGUGAUGGUGCAAUCGCGGUAGAACUGACGGUGGGUGUGAGCAAAAAGGGUAUCUUGGUAGCCAUCCAUUUGGCAAUUGUAGAAAAUAGACAUAUCAGAUUGAACCCUAAGUGCCACAGCUUGAUGUCCGAUAGCUCCUGCUGUGUUCUCAAAUCCAAUGUCCUUGGCUAUGAAGUGGUUUCCACUCACCGCUAUAAUAAUUGAUUAAACCACAAAUAUAUCAUUAAUUAGACAAAAGUUAAAACAAAAAGAAGGAAUUUAGAUAUUACUACUUACAAACAGUUGAUGUUUGGAGUGUUUGGACACCAGCAGCAUAGUUGAGGUCUCCGGUGAUCCUUGUCUUAGUAGCACCAUCACCGAUCAUCAUAAUAUGGGUCACGCUCCUUGAGAUGGUGACUUGCUCCUUGUAGAUACCUUUCUUUAUAUAUAUAACAAAUGUUGUGUUUUGGUUCUUGGGAAUCUUGUGAACAGCUUCAUUAAUAGUCUUGUAUUGGCCACUCCCGUCUUUAGCAACAACGAUAUCAGGCUUAACUGUGUCUGGAGUUUGUGCAAGUAAUCUCCUUUUUUCAUGGGACAACCAAGAAGGAAACUCAGAAUUAUCUUUCAACAGUCUACGUCCUGUCAAUCCUGCAAGGUUCAAAUCCUUAAGCAUGGAAGAGAGGCCAGUUAUCAUAGCUAGACCGUUGCUGCUAAGUUGACUAGAAAGAGUUAAGAUUUCCUUCAUUUUGGCUCCAGCUGGACCAGUAGUAUUGUCAAAGCCAUCCAAACAAGUUUGUUGAUAAGUGAUGGUGGCGCUAAGCCAAAUCUUGAGAUUUUCCAGAUACUCAUCCAUUUUACUAACAUCAAAGUGUCCAACUUCUUCGAAGGAAACCUUGAGAUCAUGAAUGGCAUCGUCCAUUAAUUCUUUGCAAUUAUCAAGCGCUUGUUUUGCCAUUGGAUCUUUUGCUACUUCUUUUAAUGUGGAUGAGUUCUGUAAGGCUUGUUGAAGGGCAUCAAUGGUCACCUGAAAGCCGGCCUGGACAAGCUUGUGAGGAUCGGUGGUGUUACCUGCGGCUUUUCUAAGACUUUUUUCACAGAUUUCUCUGUAAUCCGUAGGUUGGCAGAUAGACUGGACUGACUUCGACGACGUGGUUAUUUCGGCCGAAGGGUUUGAGCCAUCUUGGUGGUCGCCGCUGUUGAUUCCGUAUGCUACAGCAAUCACCAUAGCCACCAGAAGAAAUGAUGUGACGCCAAAAAUGGCAUACUUCUUUUUCUUCCCGGUUGGAUCUCCGACGCCGCCACCAGCCAUCUUUAUUAGUCUUAGUUUAAGCUACAACACCACCGAUCUUCUUGUUUUUUUUAGGAGAAUAUGAUCAAGAAGAGAAACAAAAUUGGAGGAAAUAAAAACCUAAUCAAUGGUAUUAAGAAGUAUACAGAGCUGUUGGGGGUUUAAGAUUAUUGAAUAACUGCCCCGAAGCUCUGACUUGGGAAAACAAAACAUAGAGAAACCCUUUAUAUAUGAAGUGAAAUUCUAAAAAACUGUUAUUUCUGUUACAAAUUUGUGAGGUGUGGAAGAGACUUUACUAAAAUUAGGGUAAUUUUUUCCAUUUGACUAAGAUAAGGGAUCUAUCUUUCGCAGUAAAAUAGGUUUAGAGCUGACCAAUUCUCAUUGUUGGCAAUGCAUAAGAAAAUUAAGGGUAAUUGGAAGUUCUUUUGCCUGUUUAUUUUGAAAUAACAUAUUAAAGUACUUUUGAUCAAAGUUAAUUAAGCAACUGUAUUUAAGUUUAAAAUCUACAUAAUACAUAUAGUCUGCUUAAAAUUCCAUGGACCCAACCGCGCCCAAACCCAUCUUUCAUAAGGGGUCAAGGUAAUAUUCGUCCAUUACAACCUGAACAAGGUAAACCAGAAGCCAGUCUUUCCAUUUUCGGACCCUAAAUUUCAGAAAUGCUUGCGACCUUUCCAAGCUGAAAAAGAAAAAGGUAAGGGUAUUCGUGAGAUCGUACGUAGAGAAAGAAUGUGUUUCAGCUAUAUUUGCCUGCUUUGAUUAUCAUUCAUCCAUUUUUGAGUUCUUUCUUGAAGGAAUAUUGGGCAAAUAGAGGUUGAUCUAUGGAUAGUGAUGAGAUUAAUUAAUGGUUUUAGUCAUCAUUAAUUAGGUUUUCAUUCUAUUUUCUUGGGCAUAUUAUUACUUCCCUUUUCUUUUUUCUUGGGAAUUAUUAGGUUGAUCCAUUUUGCAUUAUAUUGAUAUAUAUUUUUCUAUUCUUUCAUUUGAUGUCAGCAAUUAAAAUGAUCUCUUCAAAUUUUACUUGUUAGAAUCAAUUUUUUUAUAUUUUCCUUUUCAAAUUAAUUGAAAUUGAAAUUAAUUGUAUUUCGUACAUCGAGUAUUUGAAAGGAGUGAUGUGAUAAAGAUUAAAAAUUAAUCAAAUACUUAGCAAGAACAUUUUGCUCCUUAAUGGACCAAUCCAGGGUGAACAAGAUUUAAUUUUAAACUGCUUAAAUUAAAAUGAGUAACAUGACUAAGAUGAGUGGUGUGACGAGGAUUUAAUCUUAAUAAAUUAAACAAAUACUUACCGAAGAUCUUUGCUUCUUG
rnacentral:lncRNA from 1 species